UGUUAGUUGCUAAGGUGGUGCUGGAGG
rnacentral:piRNA from 1 species